ensembl:rRNA 5S_rRNA 5S ribosomal RNA
GCAUACGACCACACCGGCCUGAGUACGCCUGAUCUCGUCUGAUCUCGGAAGCUAAGUUGGGUCGGGCCUGGUUAGUACUUGGAUGGGUGACCGCCUUGGAAUACCAGGUGCUGUAAGCU